UGAUCUCUGUGCAUUUUCAUCAGAUCCCACUAUGUGUCUUUUCUCUUCAUUUCAAAGUGUGGAACAACAUCAACUGUCAAGCAAAUGAUUUUAAGAAUUGAUUAGAGAAAAACAGAAUAAUUCCAUAAAUGCCCUGAAGAUUCCGCCGCUAUAUGUUGGUCUCCUACUCAUUCCAAUGAACGCGUUAAAGUGAGUAGGAGUUAGGGUAGGAGCAUGCGACGCGAACAAACGUUGGUAGUACUAAGUAGUACAUGAUAAAAAGAGACCAAACCUAAAUGAUGUGCGUGUGACGAAGACAACAACAAGGUUGGCUAAAUUGGAUCUACAAACGAUCAUUGUAUAAAAAAGAAAGCAGAGAAUUAGAGAGAGAUGCUUGCAAACUGAGCACACCAUGUAAUCCUUUCACCAUUUUAUGACAACUUGAAUUGGAACUUUUAUGACAAC